ACAGUCCUACCGUAAACUAGGAGUAUUAAUAACAUACCACACUCGCCAAAAAAUUACGAGCCAUCGUUAAAAACUCAAAGGACUGGACGGUACUUCAAACCCACCUAGAGGAGCCUGUCCUAUAAUCGACAUUACUCGAUAUACCUUACCAACUUUUGCCUUAAACGUCUAACACCCUGUAUACCGCCAAACACAGCAAACAAUC
rnacentral:rRNA from 1 species